rnacentral:misc_RNA from 1 species
AACGCACCUUGCGCUCCCGGCAGAUCUAAUCUGGGGAGCAUGCCUGUUUGAGGGCCGCGAAUUGUUUCGAACGACCGCUUUUUUCUUGUAAGAAGGUGGACGGAUCGGUAUUGAGGACUCUGCCAUUCACCGUGGCUUCCUCGAAAAGCAUGAGCGCAUCCAUUUGAUAGGCGAGACGGACGAAAGCUUGUAUUUUCGCUCUGUUCUUACCUGCCGGGUUUUGAUAAUAUCAGGACUUCGGAGGCCAAGACAGAGUUCGAGCUGGACGCAACGACUUGCUGGCUGGAGUGCUUCUAACCCCGCCCAUGCCUGCAAAGGAAGGGAUUUUUUUUUUUUUUUCAAUUCAUCGGCCUCAGAUUGGUAGGACUACCCGCUGAACUUAA